UUUUUCGGAGAGUUUGAUCCUGGCUCAGGACGAACGCUGGCGGCGUGCCUAAUACAUGCAAGUCGAGCGGACAGAAGGGAGCUUGCUCCCGGAUGUUAGCGGCGGACGGGUGAGUAACACGUGGGUAACCUGCCUGUAAGACUGGGAUAACUCCGGGAAACCGGAGCUAAUACCGGAUAGUUCCUUGAACCGCAUGGUUCAAGGAUGAAAGACGGUUUCGGCUGUCACUU
rnacentral:rRNA from 1 species